rnacentral:rRNA from 1 species
ACUCCUACGGGAGGCAGCAGUGGGGAAUAUUGCACAAUGGGGGAAACCCGUAGCAUGCAGCCAUGCCGCGUGUGUGAAGAAGGCCUUCGGGUUGUAAAGCACUUUCAGUAGGGAGGAAGGUGGGUAUGUUAAUAGCAUACACAUUUGACGUUAGCUGCAGAAGAAGCACCGGCUAACUCCGUGCCAGCAGCCGCGGUAAUACGGAGGGUGCGAGCGUUAAUCGGAAUUACUGGGCGUAAAGCGCAUGCAGGCGGCCUGUUAAGUCAGAUGUGAAAGCCCGGGGCUUAAGCCUCGGAAUUGCAUUUGAAACUGGCAGGCUAGAGUCUUGUAGAGGGGUG